UACAGAGGUCUCAAGCGUUGUUCGGAUUCAUUGGGCGUAAAGGGUGCGUAGGCGGCGCCGGUAAGUCGGGGUGUGAAAUUCGAUCGGCUUAACUCCGAAACUGCAUUCGAUACUGCCGUGCUUGAGGACUGGAGAGGAGACUGGAAUUUAUGGUGUAGCGGUGAAAUGCGUAGAGAUCGAUGAGGAAGACCAGUGGCGAAGGCGGGUCUCUGGACAGUUCCUGACGCUGAGGCACGAAGGCCAGGGGAGCAAACGGGG
rnacentral:rRNA from 1 species